rnacentral:rRNA from 1 species
AACGCGAAGAACCUUACCAAGGCUUGACAUCCCGCGAAGGGCAGUGAAAGCUGCAAUUUUCUACGGAAACGCGGAGACAGGUGCUGCAUGGCCGUCGUCAGCUCGUGUCGUGAGAUGUUUGGUUAAGUCCAGCAACGAGCGCAACCCCUGCAACCAGUUACCAGCGAGUAAAGUCGGGGACUCUGGUUGGACUGCCCAGAUCAACUGGGAGGAAGGUGGGGACGACGUCAGGUCAGUAUGGCCCUUAUGCCUUGGGCUGCACACGUACUACAAUGCCCAGUACAGAGGGAAGCAAGCUCGCGAGAGCAAGCGGAUCCCAAAAAGUGGGCUCAGUUCGGAUUGGAGGCUGCAACUCGCCUCCAUGAAGCCGGAAUCGCUAGUAA